rnacentral:rRNA from 1 species
UACGGGGGGGGGCAAGCGUUGUUCGGACUUACUGGGCGUAAAGGGCUCGUAGGCGGCCAACUAAGUCAGACGUGAAAUCCCUCGGCUUAACCGGGGAACUGCAUCUGAUACUGGAUGGCUUGAGAUUGGGAGAGGGAUGCGGAAUUCCAGGUGUAGCGGUGAAAUGCGUAGAUAUCUGGAGGAACACCGGUGGCGAAGGCGGCAUCCUGGACCAACACUGACGCUGAGGAGCGAAAGCCAGGGGAGCAAACGGG